UGAAGAAUCUGGAAACGGGCAGAACUGGAAGAACCGAGAAAAAGGGAGAAAAAGAGGAAGGAAAAAGAAAGAAAAAGAAGAAGAAGAGAGGGGUGGCCGGUUUCUCCUAAGUUUUAGGUCUUCCUUCCUUAGUUCUUCUCAUCUUCAAGAGGUAAAUAAAAAUUUAUGUUACUUGAAGGUUUUUAGGGUUUAUGGAAAUUUAGUUUAAUUCAAGAUUUAGCACAAAUUAGAGAUUAUCAACAUGUAUUUGAGGUAUUAAGCAUGAAUAUGUCAAAGAAAAGUAUAUUGGAAGAUUGGUGUCUAAGAAAAUGAAACUUUGAAAAUGGGUUUAUGAAAUGGAUGAUUAUUCUUUGAUUUUGUUGGGAUUAUAUAAUGUCAAGCAUUUAAAUCAAGGAAUUGAGGCUGAAUUUUCCAUUUUAAGCAAUUAUUACAAGCCAAUAUUGGACAAAUCCUAUACAGGUGCUGAUUUUCAAAUUCUGCCAAGAAAAGCGCUAUUUUUGUUAAUGGUUUCGGUGCUAAAUUUCAUAUAUGUACAAGAUAGUGAUUUUAAGAAAGCAUAGUAAUUUAAUGGAUUUGAUUGUGUGGUGAUUGGUUGGUAAAUAAACGAAGAGAAGUAAAGUUGGAAAAAUAGAGAUGCAAGAAGAAUUAUAGAAGCGGAGGAAUUAUGUAGUGAAUUAGCAUUAAUUUAAAUGGCCAGUUUUAAUAUGAGUAAUUAUAUCUUUAUUUCAUGUAGUGAUGUCAAAGCUUGGAAAAGGCUCAUCAAAUUAAUUAGAUUUCUAUCCAUGGAUCUGUGAGUGGAAAAACUUAAAUAUUUUCAAAUAUUGAUAAAUUAAUUAUACCAAUACAUUAUGUGCAGUUAUAUGUUCGAUUACAUGAUUAUUUUGGAAAUAUUUUUUCAUUAUGAUAUUUGUGGAAUUCAAAUAUUAUAUAUGCUUUAUUUGUGAUUUGGAACGUGAAACAUGUGAUAUUGAGAUCGAUCAGAAAAAUACCCUUGAUUACAUACUUCUUCUAGUUCACUGAGUGGGCCUUGGCCGUGUUCUAUACUAUACUGAGGGGUCGACUGGGGAUGAAGGGGUCAUGACCGUGUACAUAUAGUUCAUCGAGUGGGCCUUGACUGUGUUCUAGAAUUGAUUACCAAAAGUCUUGAGAUCGAUUUUCGUUCACGGAGGGGGCCAAAUGCUAGUGAGGAAAGUAAUUAGCCCGAGGGGCGAAUCACAUAUUUUAGUGAGAUGAUACAUUUUUUGUCUAGAUCACAUGCGAUGUGAUGAGAUGAUGUUAUAGAUAUCAGCUGAUGACUAUACGUGAUUAUGAGAUAAUAUUUACAGUAUUAUGAGAAUGUCUCACUAUUUGCCUAUAAAUGUAUCAAGCUAUCAUGUGAAAUAUUAAAUGAUAUGAACUUGAUGUUUGAUUAAAAAAAGUGUAAAUGAGGCAGUUUAAAUAUUUUCGAACUCUUCCACUAAUUGAGCCAUCAACUCAUAUUUUUCAUCAAUUUUUCUUACAGGUAGUAUUGGUCCCUGAUAGCUUGAGGAGCCUGGUGAUUUCAGAGUUAGAACCAUAUGACAUAUUGAUUGAUAUGAGUGAAUUUGACAAAACAUGAAGUAAUUACAUUGGGCUCAUUGCACUAUGUUUUUCAUAAAUAUUUGAUUUGUACACAUAUUUUAUAGUAAUUCAUAGUCAGCCUUGAUGGUGAAUCUGGCAUCUAGUUAGAGUCCACCAUCGGCGCACGUAGGGGCUGACCCAUAGUGGGUCCUGGUGGGUCACGUGACCCACCAGGCUUCCAAAAAUUGAAAUUUUUUUAGGCCUUCAUUUUCAGCCCUUUGCAGCAGAUGAGUAGAACCCAGAAGAAGACUCAAUGCUCAAAUUGAAAAAUCAAAAUCCAUCCCUAAUUCCCUUCCCUUGGAAAAUUAAAACUCAUUCUAUUCUCCUUCUUUCUAAUGUUGAUGUUGAUGUUGAUGAAUGCUCCUCUCUUCCAUUGAUACAACCGACUAUGAAUAUGUUUGGUUGUGUGUAUUGUGUAUGUAUCAUGUACAAAUAAAGUGGGAGAAACAGAGAGUGGAAAAAGAGGGCAAAGUAUUGAGAGAGAGAGAGAGAGUGAGAGUGAGAGUGAGAGAGGCUGACAGAGUGGUGAGUGGGGGGAGUCAUGGAUGCCACCGUCUGUUUUGCUGGAAUCAGAAAUUUCAUUUGGCAUUUGCGUGAAAAAAAAUUGGAUAGUGGUUUUAGUGGUCGAAGUUGUAUAACUUUAUUUCAAUUCAUAAAAUUUUAUUUGUCAUGUCUAAAUUUAAUAGUGAUGAUCUAGAGUAGUCAGAUCGAGAUGUUUUGGUUAUCCAUAAAUAUCGGUAAUAUUCUUUUCAAGCA
rnacentral:lncRNA from 1 species